rnacentral:misc_RNA from 1 species
UUUCCGUAGGUGAACCUGCGGAAGGAUCAUUAUUGUAUAACCGAGGUGCGAGGGCUGUCGCUGACCCGAAAGGUCGUGCACGCCCGAGUGCCCUCACACGCAUCCAUCUCACCCCUAUGUGCACCACCGCGUGGGUCCCUCUUUGGCUUGUUCGGAGGGGGGCUUACGUUUUCACACAAACUUUGUAUGCAGUGUAGAAUGUAUUUUUUGUUUUUGCGAUCACGCAAUCAAUACAACUUUCAACAACGGAUCUCUUGGCUCUC